rnacentral:rRNA from 1 species
UACGUAGGGGGCAAGCGUUGUCCGGAUUUAUUGGGCGUAAAGAGCGUGUAGGCGGCUGGGUAGGUCCGUUGUGAAAACUCGAGGCUCAACCUCGAGACGCCGAUGGAAACCCUCCAGCUAGAGUCCGGAAGAGGAGAGUGGAAUUCCUGGUGUAGCGGUAAAAUGCGCAGAUAUCAGGAAGAACACCCGUGGCUAAGGCGGCUCUCUAGUACGGUACUGACGCUGAGACGCGAAAGCGUGGGGAGCGAACAGG